GACGAACCGUGCGAACGUUAUUCGGAAUCACUGGGCUUAAAGGGCGCGUAGGCGGGCUGACAAGUCUGGGGUGAAAUCCCACGGCUCAACCGUGGAACUGCCUUAGAUACUGUCGGCCUCGAGGAAGGUGGGGGCAUGCGGAACUGUAGGUGGAGCGGUGAAAUGCGUUGAUAUCUACAGGAACUCCGGUGGCGAAAGCGGCGUGCUGGACCUUUUCUGACGCUGAGGCGCGAAAGCUAGGGGAGCAAACGGG
rnacentral:rRNA from 1 species